rnacentral:tRNA from 1 species
UCGGUCGGGUAGGAGGCGAGGACGGCGGCCGCCUCCCGCGCGGCCGCCGCCGCCCCGCCGGGUUCCGUCACCUCGCUGACCAGGCC